rnacentral:rRNA from 1 species
GUGGGGAAUAUUGGACAAUGGGCGCAAGCCUGAUCCAGCCAUGCCGCGUGAGUGAAGAAGGCCUUCGGGUUGUAAAGCUCUUUCAGAUGUGAAGAUGAUGACGGUAACAUCAGAAGAAGCUCCGGCUAACUUCGUGCCAGCAGCCGCGGUAAUACGAAGGGAGCGAGCGUUGUUCGGAAUCACUGGGCGUAAAGAGUGCGUAGGCGGUUAUACAAGUCAGGAGUGAAAUCCCAGGGCUCAACCCUGGAAUUGCUUUUGAAACUGUAUAGCUAGAGUCCCGGAGGGGUUAAUGGAAUUCCGAGUGUAGAGGUGAAAUUCGCAGAUAUUCGGAGGAACACCAGUGGCGAAGGCGAUUAACUGGACGGGCACUGACGCUGAGGCACGAAAGCGUGGGGAUCAAACAGGAUUAGAAACCCUAGUAGUCC